GACGAACGCUGGCGGCGUGCCUAAUACAUGCAAGUCGAGCGCAGGAAAUCGACGGAACCCUUCGGGGGGAAGUCGACGGAAUGAGCGGCGGACGGGUGAGUAACACGUAAAGAACCUGCCCUCAGGUCUGGGAUAACCACGAGAAAUCGGGGCUAAUACCGGAUGGGUCAUCGGACCGCAUGGUCCGAGGAUGAAAGGCGCUUCGGCGUCGCCUGGGGAUGGCUUUGCGGUGCAUUAGCUAGUUGGUGGGGUAAUGGCCCACCAAGGCGACGAUGCAUAGCCGACCUGAGAGGGUGAUCGGCCACACUGGGACUGAGACACGGCCCAGACUCCUACGGGAGGCAGCAGUAGGGAAUCUUCCACAAUGGACGAAAGUCUGAUGGAGCAACGCCGCGUGAACGAUGAAGGCCUUCGGGUCGUAAAGUUCUGUUGUAAGGGAAGAACAAGUGCCGCAGGCAAUGGCGGCACCUUGACGGUACCUUGCGAGAAAGCCACGGCUAACUACGUGCCAGCCGCCGCAGUAA
rnacentral:rRNA from 1 species